GACGAACGCUGGCGGCGUGCUUAACACAUGCAAGUCGAACGGAAAGGCCCUGCUUUUGUGGGGUGCUCGAGUGGCGAACGGGGGAGUAACACGUGAGUAACCUGCCCUUGACUUUGGGAUAACUUCAGGAAACUGGGGCUAAUACCGUAUAGGAUCUCCUGCUGCAUGGUGGGGGUUGGAAAGUUUCGGCGGUUGGGGAUGGACUCGCGGCUUAUCAGCUUGUUGGUGGGGUAGUGGCUUACCAAGGCUUUGACGGGUAGCCGGCCUGAGAGGGUGACCGGGCACAUUGGGACUGAGAUACGGCCCAGACUCCUACGGGAGGCAGCAGUGGGGAAUAUUGCACAAUGGGCGGAAGCCUGAUGCAGCAACGCCGCGUGCGGGAUGACGGCCUUCGGGUUGUAAACCGCUUUCGCCUGUGACGAAGCGUGAGUGACGGUAAUGGGUAAAGAAGCACCGGCUAACUACGUG
rnacentral:rRNA from 1 species